rnacentral:rRNA from 1 species
CAGUGAUCACUUUAACGGCCGCGGUACCCUGACCGUGCAAAGGUAGCAUAAUCAUUUGCCUUUUAAUUGGAGGCUAGUAUGAAUGGUCUGACGAGAGUAAAACUGUCUCAUAUAUAUUCAAUAGAAAUUAACUUAAAGGUGCAAAGGCCUUUAUAAUCUAAAAAGACGAGAAGACCCUGUUGAGCUUUAAUCUUAAUAAGCAUUUCUUCUAUAUUCAUAAAUUCAUUUUGCUUACUAAAGAUUUUAAUUGGGGCGAUUAAGGAACACUCACCAGCUUCCUGAUCAUAGACUAAAUCGAUCCAGCAAUGUUGAUCAGCAAAGCGAGUUACCACAGGGAUAACAGCAUAAUUCUCCUUGAGAGCUCAUAUCGAAAGGAGAGAUUGUGACCUCGAUGUUGGACUAGGGUAACCAGAAGGUGCAGCCGCUUUCUUGUUUGGUCUGUUCGACCAAUAAUUCCCU